rnacentral:rRNA from 1 species
UGGUCCCACCUGACCCCAUGCCGAACUCAGAAGUGAAACGCCGUAGCGCCGAUGGUAGUGUGGGGUCUCCCCAUGUGAGAGUAGGGAACCGCCAGGU